AGUCGAGCGGCAGCACGGGAGCUUGCUCCUGGUGGCGAGCGGCGGACGGGUGAGUAAUGCCUAGGAAUCUGCCUGGUAGUGGGGGAUAACGUUCGGAAACGGACGCUAAUACCGCAUACGUCCUACGGGAGAAAGUGGGGGAUCUUCGGACCUCACGCUAUCAGAUGAGCCUAGGUCGGAUUAGCUAGUUGGUGAGGUAAUGGCUCACCAAGGCGACGAUCCGUAACUGGUCUGAGAGGAUGAUCAGUCACACUGGAACUGAGACACGGUCCAGACUCCUACGGGAGGCAGCAGUGGGGAAUAUUGGACAAUGGGCGAAAGCCUGAUCCAGCCAUGCCGCGUGUGUGAAGAAGGUCUUCGGAUUGUAAAGCACUUUAAGUUGGGAGGAAGGGUUGUAGAUUAAUACUCUGCAAUUUUGACGUUACCGACAGAAUAAGCACCGGCUAACUUCGUGCCAGCAGCCGCGGUAAUACGAAGGGUGCAAGCGUUAAUCGGAAUUACUGGGCGUAAAGCGCGCGUAGGUGGUUCAGCAAGUUGGAUGUGAAAUCCCCGGGGCUCACCUGGGAACUGCAUCCAAAACUACUGAGCUAGAGUACGGUA
rnacentral:rRNA from 1 species